UUGAGGCAAGGGAUGGAGACUUGUUUCCUGAAUCGGAUGGUUGAGCUGGUGGGUUUCGCUUCCGGCGGAGCAGCUGUUUCUUGGUGGCGGGGAAACUGAGUGCCAAAGGAUCUAUUGGGGGUUGCGGCUAGGGGGUAAGGAAGUCAAAGUCUGAUGAUGAGCAUCCUGCCACAGCUCCUCUAGUUAGUAUAUCAGCCACCUUCUUCAUGAACUGAGCUGAAGCUUCUGCUUGCCUCUUCACAGUCUUACUCAACUCCUUACAUUUGGCUUUGAGCUUGAAGAUGGUUCUGUCCUGAGCUUUGUUCCACUUUUGGAGGUUGCCAAUAUGCUCAUGAGCUUGGCAAAGGGGACCAUUGGGUAAGGCUCCAUGACGUUGCUCAA
rnacentral:lncRNA from 1 species